rnacentral:rRNA from 1 species
ACUACGGGGUGCAGCAGUAGGGAAUUUUCGUCAAUGGGCGCAAGCCUGAACAAGCAAUGCCGCGUGAACGAGGAAGGUCUUCGGAUCGUAAAGUUCUGUUGAAGGGGAAAAAGAGCGGAGAGAGGAAAUGCUUUCUGAUUGAUAUUACCCUUCGAGGAAGUCACGGCUAACUACGUGCCAGCAGCCGCGGUAAUACGUAGGUGGCGAGCGUUAUCCGGAAUGAUGGGGCGUAAAGGGUGCGUAGGCGGCCUGCUAAGUCUGGAGUGAAAGGUACCGGCUCAACCGGUACAGGCUCUGGAAACUGGCGGGCUAGAGAGCAGGAGAGGGCGGUGGAACUCCAUGUGUAGCGGUAAAAUGCGUAGAUAUAUGGAAGAACACCAGUGGCGAAGGCGGCCGCCUGGCCUGUUAACUGACGCUGAGGCACGAAAGCGUGGGGAGCAAAUAGGAUUAGAUACCCUGGUAGUC